ACGGAGGAUGCAAGCGUUAUCCGGAAUGAUUGGGCGUAAAGCGUCCGCAGGUGGCCCUGUAAGUCUGCUGUUAAAGAGUGAGGCUUAACCUCAUAAAAGCAGUGGAAACUACAGAGCUAGAGUGCGUUCGGGGCAGAAGGAAUUCCUGGUGUAGCGGUGAAAUGCGUAGAGAUCAGGAAGAACACCGGUGGCGAAGGCGUUCUGCUAGGCCGCAACUGACACUGAGGGACGAAAGCUAGGGGAGCGAAUGGGA
rnacentral:rRNA from 1 species